AACAAUCAGGGGUAUAUUCAUUACACCGAUUAUUUUGCAAACCGUUUAGUCUGCUGCAAAACGUUUUGCGACAAACCGUUUACUCCGAAUGGAAAACGUUUUAUAACGAAAACGAGUUUAUGGACAAAUUGACUUGGGUCCCCGAUCUGUCUGUUUGCCGUCUGAUUCUUAAACGGUUAACUGUCCAGUUACAAGACGUAAUGAAUAGAACCCGGGCGUUGGCCUUCGUGUCAAUUAUCUACAAUAAUUACUCUUCCUACUAGUGCCACUAUCACAUGCCUCGGUCUGGAACAAACCGUCUUCACUGUUAGUUACCAAGUAAAACUGUAGUUAUUAGUGAUGGGAAUUCCGGCUCUUUUCAGUGAACCAAGAGCCUGGUCUUUAGGCUCACAAACGGCUCUUUAAAAAAAAUGUUUUCACAGCUGUCCUUCCUCUCUCUCCUCGGCUGCCAAGUGUGUGACUGAGAGUGAGUUGGCUCCGCCCUCCCUCACGCAUCUUUGGAUCAUUGGUUGACACUGCGUGUCUGAUUGACAGGAACAACAGGAGGACCUGAGCCCUAGGACCAUGCCUCAGUACUACCUGGCCCAAUGACUCC